rnacentral:tRNA from 1 species
GCCCGGGUGGUGGAAUUGGUAGACACGUACGUUUGAGGUGCGUAAGCCGAGAGGUGUGCAGGUUCGAGUCCUGUCCCGGGCA